CCCUGGUGUCAUCAUCUCCCAGGAUCCAUGAGGUCCAGUGCCGUCACUAUCCACUAGGAUCCACCAUAACCCUGGUGUCAUCAUCUCCCAGGAUCCAUGAGGUCCAGUGUUGUCACCAUCUACUAGGAUCCACCAUGACCCUGGUGUUAUCAUCUCCCAGGAUCCAUGAGGUCCAGUGCUGUCACCAUCUACUAGGAUCCACCAUGACCCUGGUGUUAUCAUCUCCCAGGAUCCAUGAGGUCCAGUGCUGUCACCAUCCACUAGUAUCCACCAUAACCCUGGUGUCAUCCCAGAGUCCACUGCAACCAUGUGCCAUCAUCCCCCAAGAGCCAUCAUCUUAGGAGCCAAGUACCGUGACGGGCUGUAUUUCAGUUGUCCUCUGGGGCCACAUGGUACUUACAGUUGUUCACUUAAGGGGAACCAGCACAACAGGCCAUAUUCCCGUUUCCACUAAAAGGACAGGGGUGGGGCCAGCUGUCCCCUUCUGAAGACUUCACCCCUACUCUGGCCCUCCUUAUGUCAUUGCCUCACUCCUGACCGAGGAUGAUGCCUGCAUCAAUCCCACCACAGAUGUGGCCUCAGCCAACCUCACCUUACCCCCCGGUGAGGCACCCAGGCCCCUCCUGACAGCAGCGCUGCCCCUCACCCAGCCAUCUGAUUGGUGACAGGGUCAACCCAGCAACCUCCUCAUUAUCACCAGAGGGGAAGCAUUUC
rnacentral:lncRNA from 1 species